CCUACGGGAGGCAGCAGUGGGGAAUAUUGCACAAUGGGGGAAACCCUGAUGCAGCGACGCCGCGUGAGUGAAGAAGUAAUUCGUUAUGUAAAGCUCUAUCAGCAGGGAAGAAAAUGACGGUACCUGAGUAAGAAGCCCCGGCUAACUACGUGCCAGCAGCCGCGGUAAUACGUAGGGGGCAAGCGUUAUCCGGAUUUACUGGGUGGAAAGGGAGCGUAGACGGCAGUGCAAGUCUGGAGUGAAAGGCGGGGGCUCAACCCCCGGACUGCUCUGGAAACGGUACGGCUGGAGUGCAGGGGAGGUAAGUGGAAUUCCUAGUGUAGCGGUGAAAUGCGUAGAUAUUAGGAGGAACACCAGUGGCGAAGGCGGCUUACUGGACUGUAACUGACGUUGAGGCUCGAAAGCGUGGGGAGCAAACAGGAUUAGAUACCCCUGUAGUC
rnacentral:rRNA from 1 species